ACGGAUUUUAGGAGUCAACUAUAGAGAUCAAGUCUCAAUGAAAGAAAUCCCAAACUGGGAGUUGUACACUAAACGAGGUUGUGACAGAGCGUCUCAUGAGGUUUGUUGGACAUCAAAAUAAAUGACGCAAACCAAGAGUUUGUCAUGACUUGGAGUAAAUACGAGGGAUGUCUUACUGCUACACUUCAUAGACGAAAUGAGAUCAAUGGACACCAGAUUAUUGAAAGAAUAAAAAAUUAAAAAUUUCGCUUAUCCUAAAAUCAGCUUAUUAAAAGUUGGUAUGUCUGCAGCUUAUGCUGUGGUCAUAAAGCAGCCUAAUACUAAAUCCCUGCAUCAUUAUUAUGUGAUCCCUGAGAAAUAACAUUAGCAGUGUACAGCUUUAAGAUGCAAUGGUUCAGAUAUAAAUCUGAUCGACUUGCAGCCGUGGUCUACAGAACUCCAACUCUAUAAGACAAGAAUUGACAGCACCAGUAAGAACAGCCUUGAUUCAAGAUGAGACUUUUCUUCAUUAUUGGCCUGUUCGUUGUCUUCGUCCUCGAGACAGCCAAGGCCAAUGAACUGGCAAGGUACGUGGCUUGCACGCUCCGGAAUCAUCUUACCUUCACGUGUGCUGAAUGGAUAAAAGAUGUAGUACCACACAGAAGACGUACUCAGCAUCAGUGGUGCAGACUUGUGUAUAGAUCUGAGGAUGAGUUUUAUGAGAAUGAUUGCACAGAGAAUGACUACUUACUUGCGCGUAGUAUCGUUUGCGGUCGAAUACCCAGACCACCAAGGUGUUUACCACUUUGGUGAUUAAUAGAAGCAAAAGUUAAUGGUUGAAACUUUUACUAAGUAUACUACAGAGUUUAAAACUAAACACAAAUUUAUUCUAAUAGUUUUAAUCAUCUAAAAAGGGGGAGGGGGGACAGUUUUUUUUUUAACUAAAUGUUCAGAAAUCGAUAUACUUCAAUAAAACAAAAAUAUAA